AUCCUGUUGUAUGGGGCUGCUUCUGAGCAUGACAAAACAGAGGCCCAGAAUAAAUGCAGUGCGUGGUGCCCAGGCUAGUUCAGUCAACAUGGCUGGUUUCA